CUCUUCCCUCCCUCUCGGCGCUCGGGUCUCCGGGUUUCUCUCGGGUGUCACGUUACUGCCUCUGACCGGGGAGCGGGGCGGGGGGCGGCGAUUAUUCGCCACGAGGAAGAAAGUUUCUGGGUGUUUUUCUCCUUCCCCCUUUCUCUACAGUCUGGCCUCAGUUUCUGCGCCACCAGCGACCUCUGGGGGGCCCCGCUGACUUCCCUCUCUUGUAAACAGUCACCGGCAGGAAGAAGCACGACUUCUUUUACUAUAUGUUUUUUUUGUUUGUUUGUUUUCAUUUCAGGAACUCAAUUCUCCUUCUGGAUCCCGAGCUGCCUACAAAAGGCCGGUUAAAAAAAAAAAAAAAAGGUACUUGGGUAUGUGUUCGAGACUUGACUGAGAUGGUCCAAGAGCAAGUGGUGUGAAUUAUAAUUCGACAUGACCCCUGGGGCCACGCUCCUCGCUCCGACUGCUGGUAGAGAAAGGAAAGCUUUCCCCUUGCUCACAGAGCCCCUCAUCCACGUAGCGCCCAGAGAGGCAAGGCGGUGGUACAGGGCGGACUCCGGGAGGUCCUUCCUCUAGCCGAUAAGGCGGGGAAGGGCCCUUAGGUACCCACUUCAUCGCCGCCUCCCUCCCUUCCUUGGGAAGUUUCUGGACCUGAAAGAGAACCUCCCAAGGUAGAAAAGACCGCAUCCAACACCGAUCUGGUGAUGGGGGUGGGCGAUGCACGAAAGGGCUGCUCUCAUCAGCCACACUUCCAGUAAGAAUCAUUUACUGCUGGAGACGAGCUGUACCACUUGAGGCUCAAGGGACUUGCCCCAAGACACAGAACUUCUAGGAGUCCGGUCGGGAGCUGCACUGAAGUCUGACUCUCCAGCUCACUGUACUAACCACUGCCCUGCACUGUCUCCCAGCCCGGGCCCUUUUCUCUUAAUCUGCACAGUGAUUGGAGGAAGAGAUAAAACUCACUCAGCCCAGGCCACCUUGAGAAAGGAUGCCCUGGGUUUUUGGUGCCUCUCACUGCAACAUUCCAGUAGCAGCCAGCCAGUUGCAAGAAAGAAUCAGGAGCCGGGGACCCCUCUGAUUCUAAGACCGUUUUCCCGAAAACCUUUUUAAAGUUGUGAAAAAGUUUUGAGGCAAGCACAAGGAGGCAAGGGCCCGGCUUAGAAGAAACAAGCUGUGACAUGAAGAAUUUUAGAAAGAAAAAACAGAUGAAGAUACAGACCGUAAGAACAAGGAAUAUUAGCUGUGGGAGAUCUGGUCUGGGAUGGCUUCCUGGAAGAGGUGGAACACGAACUGCAUUGCAGAACUGUCAUGGUGUAUGGGUUGGGAGGGAGACUCUCCUGAAGGCUGUGUGGACAAGGAAGUCUUCUCUGAGAAGUUGGCAUUUGAGCUGUGACCAAAAGAAUGAGAAGGAGCAGCCUGGAGAAGAUCUGGAAAACAAGUGCUCCAUGCAUGGGUAACAGCCCAUACAAAGACCCCGAAAUGGACUUGUGCACCACUAUCACUAUGCUGGGAAUGGGCUAACCAAGAGGGCAAGUGACAUGAGGUGAGACUGGAGAGGCAGGUAGGUGGUGUCAGUCCCUAGAGAGUCUUGUAAACCAAGGUAAAGAGUUUGGCUUUUAUUCUACACGUGAGGGAAAACACUGGAGAGGUUAGGAGAGUGGCUUCAUCUGAUUCAUGAUUUUAAACGAUUAUUUGGGCUGCUGGGUGGAAAUGAGUCAUCAGGGGGCAGGAGUAGAAAAAGAGAGAUGCAUAAUCCAGGAAAAGGAUGAUGCUGGCUUUGCUCAGGGUGGUAAUGAUGAAAAAAGGUAACACAUCUGGGAUAUGGUUUUUGGAGGUUAUGGUUCUCAGACUAGCCAGCGAGGAGGUAAAAGAAAGAGUAAAGUUAAGGAUGAUACCUAAGCUUUUGCCAGAGCAACUGGGAUUUAAGGUUAAAAUAUUUCUCGAAGCACAGGAGCCUGGAACAGGAGGAUUCGGGGAGGAGUGGGGGAGCAAGCAAUGAGCAGUA